rnacentral:rRNA from 1 species
GACGAACGCUGGCGGCGUGCUUAACACAUGCAAGUCGAACGGAAAGGCCCUGCUUUUGUGGGGUGCUCGAGUGGCGAACGGGUGAGUAACACGUGAGUAACCUGCCCUUGACUUUGGGAUAACUUCAGGAAACUGGGGCUAAUACCGGAUAGGAGCUCGUGCUGCAUGGUGGGGGUUGGAAAGUUUCGGCGGUUGGGGAUGGACUCGCGGCUUAUCAGCUUGUUGGUGGGGUAGUGGCUUACCAAGGCUUUGACGGGUAGCCGGCCUGAGAGGGUGACCGGCCACAUUGGGACUGAGAUACGGCCCAGACUCCUACGGUAGGCAGCAGUGGGGAAUAUUGCACAAUGGGCGGAAGCCUGAUGCAGCAACGCCGCGUGCGGGAUGACGGCCUUCGGGUGGUAAACCGCUUUCGCCUGUGACGAAGCGUGAGUGACGGUAAUGGGUAAAGAAGCACCGGCUAACUACGUG